UGGCCCUGGGCUUCUCUCUUCUACACUGUACCCAAUGCACAGCUUUUGUCAUUGAUUAAAUGCCGCAGCUCGCCGGGAGCCAUUUAUCAAUUUCAUCAGCUGCUUAUGGCUUUAUUUACUACAAAGGAAGCAAGGUAAUCCCUGUAAACUCAAUAGAUCUAAAUUAACUGAACGUUCAGGAGCCAGCUUAGAAAGAAUUAUUGCUCCCUGACUCAGUGGGCCAGAGAAAAGGAAUGAACACAGGAACCUGUAACAGAGGCUCUGAGAGGUUCUCUGGCAUCCAGGAGGGUCGCUUCACAAAGGACACCUGCUUGACUGGGUCUCUAUUAACCAGGUUUCUCUGCAUAGAGUCCAGGCUGAGUUGCACAGAGUAGGCAGUCCCUUCAGGAAGAGAAGGUGUUUGUAAACUGGGCCAGAGCAAGGACAUGCGGGACCCCCGCAGAGUGAACUGACAGAUCUUGAUGUUGUGAGUAUCUGGAAGAGAGGUGGACACCCUCCCUCGGGGAGCUAAAGGCACACCUGGCCCAGGGGUUGGAGAAGCUGAAGGAGCCAGCAGGAGGAGAUGGAGCAGCAGAAGGAGGUGGAGCAGCAGGAGGAGGUGGAGUAGUCACAGUCCCACACCGCUGCCCCAUGCCAUGAAGGUGAGCCAGCAGAGGCUGAUGGGGCAGCACAGUGAAGAUGGCACCUGUCAAGUCAAGAGAUGGAAAAGCUGUAACUGAACCCUGAAAGUCGCUUAACCUGGGACCUUGGUAAAGUCAUUUUACCUCUCUCCAUCUUGAUUUCCUCACCU
rnacentral:lncRNA from 10 species